rnacentral:tRNA from 1 species
AAGGGCUUAGCUUAAGUUAAAGCGUCUGUUUUGCAUUCAGAAGAUGUGGGGUUAGUUCUGCAGUCCUUA